rnacentral:rRNA from 1 species
AAGAACGCUGGCGGCAGGCCUAAGACAUGCAAGUCGUACGCGAACGACCUUUCGGGGUUAAGUAGAGUGGCGAACGGGUUAGUAACGCGUGGGAACAUACACAGCACAGGGGGAUAACCAUUGGAAACGAUGGCUAAUACCGCAUACGCCCUAUUGGGGAAAGAUUUAUCGGUGUUGGAUUGGCCCGCGUUAGAUUAGCUAGUUGGUGGGGUAAUGGCUCACCAAGGCGACGAUUUAUAGCUGGUUUGAGAGGAUGAUCAGCAACACUGGAACUGAGACACGGUCCAGACUCCUACGGGAGGCAGCAGUCGGGAAUAUUGUGCAAUGGGGGCAACCCUGACACAGCCAUGCCGCGUGAGUGAAGAAGGCCUUAGGGUUGUAAAGCUCUUUCAGAUGUGAGGAUGAUGACGAUAGCAUCAGAAGAAGCUCCGGCUAACUUCGUGCCAGCAGCCGCGGUAAUACGAAGGGAGCUAGCGUUGUUCGGAAUUACUGGGCGUAAAGGGCGUGUAGGCGGAUUAUCAAGUUAGGGGUGAAAUCCCGGGGCU